GAUCGUGAUCAGGCAAUCGCCCCCGACAUCUGUCGGGCGAGGAAAGUCCGAACACGGCAGGACACGGUGGUGGCUAAUGACCACCAGCCUCGACGCAGGCUCGGGACAGUGCCACAGAAAAUAAACCGCCGGUGCCUCACGGCAACGGUAAGGGUGAAAAGG
rnacentral:RNase_P_RNA from 1 species